GCUUGUCUCAAAGAUUAAGCCAUGCAUGUCUAAGUAUAAACGGUUAUACAGUGAAACUGCGGAUGGCUCAUUAAAUCAGUUAUAGUUUAUUUGAUAGUACCUUCUACAUGGAUAACUGUAGAAAAGCUAGAGCUAAUACAUGCUAAAAAUCCUGACUAGGGCAACCUGGAAGGGAUGUAUUUAUUAGAUAUAGAAACCAAUACGGGGCGUCAAAACCCCGGCCCAUUGGUGAGUCAUAAUAACUUUGCGGAUCGCAUGCUCUCGUAGCGGCGACGAUUCAUUCAAAUUUCUGCCCUAUCAACUUUCGAUUGUAGGAUAGAGGCCUACAAUGGUUAUUACGGGUAACGGGGAAUUAGGGUUCGAUUCCGGAGAGGGAGCCUGAGAGACGGCUACCACUUCCAAGGAAGGCAGCAGG
rnacentral:rRNA from 1 species